rnacentral:rRNA from 1 species
CUUUUACGGAGAGUUUGAUCCUGGCUCAGGACGAACGCUGGUGGCGUGCUUAACACAUGCAAGUCGAACGGUGAAGCCCAGCUUGCUGG